CGGCGUACGGGUGCGUAACACGUGUGCAACCUGCCUUUAUCUGGGGGAUAGCCUUUCGAAAGGAAGAUUAAUACUCCAUAAUAUAUUGAACGGCAUCGUUUAGUAUUGAAAGCUCCGGCGGAUAGAGAUGGGCACGCGCAAGAUUAGCUAGUUGGUGAGGUAACGGCUCACCAAGGCGAUGAUCUUUAGGGGGCCUGAGAGGGUGAUCCCCCACACUGGUACUGAGACACGGACCAG
rnacentral:rRNA from 1 species